AGAGUUUGAUCAUGGCUCAGAUUGAACGCUGGCGGCAGGCCUAACACAUGCAAGUCGAACGGUAACAGGAAGCAGCUUGCUGCUUUGCUGACGAGUGGCGGACGGGUGAGUAAUGUCUGGGAAACUGCCUGAUGGAGGGGGAUAACUACUGGAAACGGUAGCUAAUACCGCAUAACGUCGCAAGACCAAAGAGGGGGACCUUCGGGCCUCUUGCCAUCGGAUGUGCCCAGAUGGGAUUAGCUAGUAGGUGGGGUAACGGCUCACCUAGGCGACGAUCCCUAGCUGGUCUGAGAGGAUGACCAGCCACACUGGAACUGAGACACGGUCCAGACUCCUACGGGAGGCAGCAGUGGGGAAUAUUGCACAAUGGGCGCAAGCCUGAUGCAGCCAUGCCGCGUGUAUGAAGAAGGCCUUCGGGUUGUAAAGUACUUUCAGCGGGGAGGAAGGUGCUGAGGUUAAUAACCUCAGCAAUUGACGUUACCCGCAGAAGAAGCACCGGCUAACUCCGUGCCAGCAGCCGCGGUAAUACGGAGGGUGCAAGCGUUAAUCGGAAUUACUGGGCGUAAAGCGCACGCAGGCGGUCUGUCAAGUCGGAUGUGAAAUCCCCGGGCUCAACCUGGGAACUGCAUUCGAAACUGGCAGGCUAGAGUCUUGUAGAGGGGGGUAGAAUUCCAGGUGUAGCGGUGAAAUGCGUAGAGAUCUGGAGGAAUACCGGGUGGCGAAAGCGGCCCCCUGGACAAAGACUGACGCUCAGUGCGAAAGCGUGGGGGAGCAAACAGGAUAGAUACCCUGGUAGUC
rnacentral:rRNA from 1 species